rnacentral:rRNA from 1 species
GACGAACGCUGGCGGCGUGCUUAACACAUGCAAGUCGAACGGAAAGGCCCUGCUUUUGUGGGGUGCUCGAGUGGCGAACGGGUGAGUAACACGUGAGUAACCUGCCCUUGACUUUGGGAUAACUUCAGGAAACUGGGGCUAAUACCGGAUAGGAGCUCCUGCUGCAUGGUGGGGGUUGGAAAGUUUCGGCGGUUGGGGAUGGACUCGCGGCUUAUCAGCUUGUUGGUGGGGUAGUGGCUUACCAAGGCUUUGACGGGUAGCCGGCCUGAGAGGGUGACCGGCCACAUUGGGACUGAGAUACGGCCCAGACUCCUACGGGAGGCAGCAGUGGGGAAUAUUGCACAAUGGGCGGAAGCCUGAUGCAGAAACGCCGCGUGCGGGAUGACGGCCUUCGGGUUGUAAACCGCUUUCGCCUGUGACGAAGCGUGAGUGACGGUACUGGGUAAAGAAGCACCGGCUAACUACGUG